rnacentral:rRNA from 1 species
UACGUAGGGGGCUAGCGUUGUCCGGAAUCAUUGGGCGUAAAGCGCGCGUAGGCGGCCAGAUAAGUCCGGUGUGAAAGUCACAGGCUCAACCUGUGAAUGCCGCUGGAAACUGUCUGGCUUGAGUCCGGAAGGGGCGAGUGGAAUUCCUGGUGUAGCGGUGAAAUGCGCAGAUAUCAGGAGGAACACCAAUGGCGAAGGUAGCUCGCUGGAACGGUACUGACGCUGAGGCGCGAAAGCGUGGGGAGCGAACAGG